AGCAGCCGCGGUAAUUCCAGCUCCAAUAGCGUAUAUUAAAGUUGUUGCAGUUAAAAAGCUCGUAGUUGAAUUUCGGAAUUUGUCGGUUGGUCGGGCUUCACUGUCCGCACUGGCCUGAUGGAUUCCUACCUUCUGAAUAAACAGCAUGCUAUUAAUUUAGUGCGUUGGGGAAGCAGAGCUAUUACCUUGAAAAAUUAGAGUGCUUAAAGCAGGCUUACGCUUGAAUAGAUUAGCAUGGAAUAAUAAAAUAGGACGGCUUGGUUCUAUUUUGUUGGUUUCUAGGAUCACCGUAAUGAUUAAUAGGGAUAGUUGGGGGCAUUAGUAUUCAAUUGUCAGAGGUGAAAUUCUUGGAUUUAUUGAAGACUAACUUCUGCGAAAGCAUUUGCCAAGGAUGUUUUCAUUAAUCAAGAACGAAAGUUAGGGGAUCGAAGACGAUCAGAUACCGUCGUAGUCUUAACCAUAAACUAUGCCGACUAGGGAUCGGACGAUGUUAAUUUUUAAUGUACUCG
rnacentral:rRNA from 1 species